rnacentral:misc_RNA from 1 species
UAUUGAACCCACUUUUUGAUAAAAUUUAAAAUUAGUUGAAACAAUAAUCAUGUUGUGCAUUCAAAAAUUUAUUUCCUUUUAAAUUUUACUAUAGUCUUUUCAAUAAUGAACUUCAUCAAGACAAAAUAGUAUAAUUGUACGUGUUAUAUAUUAGUAAAUGACUUUUAGUUACUUAUAUAAAGAUAUAUAUUUGAUAGCAUUAAUAA